AUGAAGCAGACCGUCGUCCUGUACCCGGGCGCCGGCGUCGGCCACUUCGGCUCCAUGACGGAGCUCGCCCACGUCUUCCUAAACCACGGCUACGACGUCACCAUGGUGCUCAUCGAGCUGCCCGUCAAGUCCUCCGACUCUGGCGCCGCCGCCGUCGAGCGCAUUGCCGCCGCCAACCCAUCCAUCUCCUUCCAUGUCCUCCCGCUCCUCCCUGUCCCGGACAUCGCCGCCUCCGGCAAGCACCCUUUCAUCCACCUGCUCCAGCUGCUGCGCGACUACAACGAGCUGCUCGAAGCCUUCCUCCGCUCCAUCCCCCGGGAACGCUUGCACUCCCUCGUCCUCGACAUGUUCUGCGUCGCCGCCAUCGACGUCUGCGCGAAGCUCGGCGUCCCGGUCUACACCUUCUUCGCCUCGGGCGCCUCGUUCCUCUCCGUCAUGACCCAGUUCCCGGCGCUGGUCGCUGGCAGGCAGAUGGGCCUCAAGGACCUCGGCGACACGCCCCUCGAUUUCCUCGGCGUCCCGCCUAUGCCGGCGUCUCAUCUGGUCAGGGAGCUGCUCGAGCACCCGGAGGAGGAGAUGUGUAAGGCCAUCACUAGCAUGUGGAAGCGCAACACGGAGACCAUGGGCGUUCUGGUGAACACGUACGAGUCAUUGGAGUGCCGGGCGGUUCAGUCGCUCAGGGACCCGCGCUGCGUCCCAGGCCGGACCCUGCCCCCGAUCUACUGCAUCGGGCCGUUGGUCGGCAACGGCGCGAAGAGCGACAACGGCAGAGCAGCGGAGAGGAACGAGUGCCUCGCGUGGCUAGACGCGCAGCCGGAUCGCAGCGUUGUCUUCCUCUGCUUCGGGAGCAAGGGCACGCUCUCCACGGACCAGCUCAAGGAGAUCGCCGUCGGCCUGGAGAGGUCCGGGCAGCGGUUCCUGUGGGUCGUGCGCACGCCGGCCGGGAGCGACGACCCGAGGAAAAUCCUGGAGGUUCGCCCCGAGGCGAACCUCGACGCGCUCCUACCGGCGGGUUUCCAGGAGCAGACCAAGGACAGGGGGCUCGUGGUCAGGUCGUGGGCCCCGCAGGUGGACGUGCUCUGCCACCCGGCGACCGGCGCGUUCGUGACGCACUGCGGGUGGAACUCGGUGCUGGAGGCCAUCGCGGCGGGAGUGCCGAUGCUCUGCUGGCCGCUGGAGGCGGAGCAGAAGAUGAACAAGGUGUGCAUGACGGCGGAGGACAUGGGAGUGGCGGUGGAGCUGGCCGGGUACGCGGAGGGCUUCGUCACGGCGGACGAGCUGGAGGCUAAGGUGAGGCUGGUGAUCGAGGCUGAGGACGGCGCGCAGCUGAGGGCGCGACUGGCGGCUCGCAGGGAGGAGGCGAAGGCGGCGCUGCGGGAAGGAGGCUCCUCGCGGGCGGCGUUCGUCCAGUUUCUCUUGGACGCGCAGAAUAUCCAGGUGUAG
rnacentral:rRNA from 1 species